rnacentral:tRNA from 1 species
CAGAUUGUAACGUAAUUGGUAACGUGCUCGCAUUGGGUGCGAGAUCUUGAAGGUUCAAGUCCUUCCAAUCUGA